UACGGAGGGUGCAAGCGUUGUCCGGAUUUAUUGGGUUUAAAGGGUGCGUAGGCGGCCCGUUAAGUCAGUGGUGAAAGCCUCCAGCUCAACUGGAGAACUGCCAUUGAUACUGACGGGCUUGAGUACAGACGAGGUAGGCGGAAUUGAUUGUGUAGCGGUGAAAUGCAUAGAUACAAUCAAGAACUCCGAUUGCGUAGGCAGCUUACUAGGCUGUAACUGACGCUGAGGCACGAAAGCGUGGGUAGCGAACAGG
rnacentral:rRNA from 1 species